CGGCGAGGGUGCAGGAGGAGAAGGAGAGCAGGUAGAGAAGAAAAUGGAGAGAAACUGCGGUUGAUCGAGGCGUGAACCGUGGUCGAUCGAGGCUGCGGUUGAGGAAGAUGAGGGGGGAGACGAAAAUGGUGAUGGGCAAAAUGGUCAUUUUAUCAUCACAGUACACACCGUACCCCCCCCUGUGAAUAUUUUUCAUUUUACAAGGAUGCAAAGUGUAGGUUUUUAAAUGACGGGAAGAAAGUGAAAAAUCGGAUUUUGACAGGGGGUUUUAUGUAAUUUAGCCUAUAUAUAUAUAUAUAUAUAGAGAGAGAGAGAGAGAGAAGGAGAAAGAGAGAGUCCGGCUACUAUACUAUCGAUAGUACCAAGCCAUUGGUAUUAUUGAGUUUUCUACUGUUAGAUCUACCCUUUGAUCAUUUCCACCCGUUAGAUUAUACUAUUAAACCAACCACCCACUCAACCCUAGGAGACUACUAUCAAUUUAACCGGGGACCAAUAUCAUCCUAACCGCACGUCCUUUUAUCCAACGGCCGAAAACUUAAUAGUAUCAAGGGCCUGAUACGAUUGAUAGUAUAGUAGCAUAAUUCUAUAUAUAUAUAUAGGGGCAAUUGCUUAUAUACCCCUGAAAAGUUUCCGACUUUCUGAUUUACCCCUCUUAGAAGGCUAAUAUUGAAAAUAUCCCUCCUACGUUCCAACAUAUUUCUAAUAUACCCUUAGAGUUAAAAUCUAUUAAGUAACUCUGUUAUCUCUAUAAAAUUACUAUUUUGCCCUUUCAAAUACACCCUUCUACCAUCAUUGUCUUUCUUAUUUGCGCUUAAAGUCAGGGGCACAAAAAGUGUUUUAACUUUUGGUCUCUUCCAAUAUACCCCCCUACCGUCACGAACGUUUCUUAUUUGCCCUUAAGUUGAGGACAAAAUUGGCAUUUUACUUUUUUUUAACUAUGGUAGAUAUUUAACUCACGUUUAACCCAGGUUAACUUAACAGGAGAUAACUACGGGGGUAUUUUGCAAUAACGGUGGAACAUAUG
rnacentral:lncRNA from 1 species